GAUGAAGAACGUAGCGAAAUGCGAUACUUGGUGUGAAUUGCAGAAUCCCGUGAACCAUCGAGUCUUUGAACGCAAGUUGCGCCUCAAGCCAUUAGGUUGAGGGCACGUCUGCCUGGGCGUCACAUAUCGCUGCCUGAUGCCAGUUUCCUCGUGAUGGGUGACUGUGCAGGGCGAAUGAUGGCUUCCCGUGAGCAUUGUUGCCUCAUGGUUGGUUGAAAAUUGAGUCCUUGGUAGGGAGCGCCGUGAUAGAUGGUGGUUGAGUGACGAACGAGACCCAAUCAUGUGAGACCCCUACCGAAUUUGGCCUUCAUGACCCACAUGCGUCUUUGGAACGCUCAUGACGAGACCUCAGGUCAGGCGGGGCUACCCGCUGAGUUUAAGCAUAUCAAUAAGCGGAGGA
rnacentral:misc_RNA from 1 species